rnacentral:rRNA from 1 species
AUUGAACGCUGGCGGCAGGCCUAACACAUGCAAGUCGAGCGGAUGAAGGGAGCUUGCUCCUGGAUUCAGCGGCGGACGGGUGAGUAAUGCCUAGGAAUCUGCCUGGUAGUGGGGGAUAACGUCCGGAAGCGGGCGCUAAUACCGCAUACGUCCUGAGGGAGAAAGUGGGGGAUCUUCGGACCUCACGCUAUCAGAUGAGCCUAGGUCGGAUUAGCUAGUUGGUGGGGUAAAGGCCUACCAAGGCGACGAUCCGUAACUGGUCUGAGAGGAUGAUCAGUCACACUGGAACUGAGACACGGUCCAGACUCCUACGGGAGGCAGCAGUGGGGAAUAUUGGACAAUGGGCGAAGGCCUGAUCCAGCCAUGCCGCGUGUGUGAAGAAGGUCUUCGGAUUGUAAAGCACUUUAAGUUGGGAGGAAGGGCAGUAAGUUAAUACCUUGCUGUUUUGGCGUUACCAACAGAAUAAGCACCGGCUAACUUCGUG